CAGAUACCUUUACAAUGCACUUCACCCAUUUGACCCUGAGUCCCUAUACCCUUCACCCCCUGUACUAUACCCUCUGACCCUUGAACCCUGACCCAACUCACUUGUUGCUUGGUUUGGUCAAGGACGUGCAGGCUAGAGCUCUCUGCUGCUGGCCCAUGUUCUGGACUCGGUUCUUCUUAUUGUUCUUCUGCAUCUCCUUGCCGGACUGUCUGCGACUCACAGAUGAAUGAGGCCAGAUCCCAGUGAACAGCUGCAGUUAUCACUUGUCUAUAAUGACUACAGGCUGAUCCUGAACAAGUCCAGUACACUGAACAGCUGCAGUUAUCACUGCUCUAUAAUGACUACAGGCCAAUCCAGGACAGGUACAGUUAACACUGCUCUAUGAUGACUACAGGCAGAUCCAGGACAGGUCCAGUUAACACUGAUCUAUAAUGACUACAGGCCGAUCCAGAACAGGUCAAGUUAACAUUGGUAUUUAAUGACUACAGGCUGAUCCAGGACAGGUCCAGUUAACACUGGUCUAUAAUGACUGCAGGCCGAUCCAGGACAGCUGUAGAUUCAGGCAGAUCAAAGUAGUAGUUAUCCGAAUAGCUGUCUUCAGAAUCUUGAGUCUUCAGAAUCUUGAGUCUUCAGAAUCUUGAGACAGAAUUAAAGUAUUAGAGAAUACAGGUUCGUCUUGUUGUGGUUGAAUUGUCCAGCUUCUGAGGACAUUUAGAGCCAAAAGUGGUAAAAUGAGAGCAAACAAUUUUAAUUAAUGGAUGGAGAAGAGAGAUUUCCGUCUGCAACAUUUCCUUUAAGGAACAUCGAUGUGCAACCAUAACAGUUCAUGUUGAAGUGGUCAUGGUUUGCUAUUCAUUCUGCUUGCUUGCUUGGUCUCUCUCACUCUCUCUGUUAAUGUCCCUCUCUCACUGGCACUCAUUCACUCCCUCUCCCUCUUUCUCCCCCUCUCUCUCAUUCCUCACUAUGUCACUCAGUUUUCUCAUCUUCUGUCAGUCAUUCUUUCUGCCCCAUGUUUCCUCACCCACAACUGUCUCCACUCUGUUUCUCUCUUCAUUCCUCCCCU
rnacentral:lncRNA from 1 species